GGAGCUGUGUCUGAAUAAAGAGUCACUUUGAUAGAGUGAAUCAUGUAGGUGAAAAUCCUGCCAACUCCU
rnacentral:tRNA from 1 species